GUCAGUGUGGUGUAGUGGUUUACACGUUGGACUACAACUCUGGAGACCAGGGUUUGAAUCCCUGGACAAGCA